rnacentral:rRNA from 1 species
AACGCGAAGAACCUUACCUGGCCUUGACAUGCAAGUAGUAGAAGGAUGAAAGUCUGACGAGGUAGCAAUACCAGCUUGCACAGGUGCUGCAUGGCUGUCGUCAGCUCGUGUCGUGAGAUGUUGGGUUAAGUCCCGCAACGAGCGCAACCCUUAUCCCUAGUUGCCAUCGGGUCAAGCCGGGCACUCUAGUGAAACCGCGCGGGAUAACCGCGAGGAAGGUGGGGAUGACGUCAAGUCCUCAUGGCCUUUAUGUCCAGGGCUACACACGUGCUACAAUGGUCGGUACAAACCGUCGCAAACCCGCGAGGGGGAGCUAAUCGGAAAAAGCCGGCCUCAGUUCGGAUUGGAGUCUGCAACCCGACUCCAUGAAGCUGGAAUCGCUAGUAAUCGCGGAUCAGAACGCCGCGGUGAAUACGUUCCCGGGCCUUGUACACACCGGAGUA